rnacentral:rRNA from 1 species
AUGCAAGUCGAGCGGUAGGCCCUUCGGGGUACACGAGCGGCGAACGGGUGAGUAACACGUGGGGUGAUCUGCCUCGUACUUCGGGAUAAGCCUGGGAAACUGGGUCUAAUACCGGAUAGGACCUCUUGUCGCAUGGCUUGGGGUGGAAAGAUUUAUCGGUGCGAGAUGGGCCCGCGGCCUAUCAGCUUGUUGGUGGGGUAAUGGCCUACCAAGGCGACGACGGGUAGCCGGCCUGAGAGGGCGACCGGCCACACUGGGACUGAGACACGGCCCAGACUCCUACGGGAGGCAGCAGUGGGGAAUAUUGCACAAUGGGCGGAAGCCUGAUGCAGCGACGCCGCGUGAGGGAUGACGGCCUUCGGGUUGUAAACCUCUUUCGACAGGGACGAAGCGCAAGUGACGGUACCUGUAGAAGAAGCACCGGCCAACUACGUGCCAGCAGCCGCGGUAAUACGUAGGGUGCGAGCGUUGUCCGGAAUUACUGGGCGUAAAGAGCUUGUAGGCGGUUUGUCGCGUCGUCUGUGAAAACUCACAGCUCAACUGUGAGCUUGCAGGCGAUACGGGCAGACUUGAGUACUGCAGGGGAGACUGGAAUUCCUGGUGUAGCGGUGAAAUGCGCAGAUAUCAGGAGGAACACCGGUGGCGAAGGCGGGUCUCUGGGCAGUAACUGACGCUGAGAAGCGAAAGCGUGGGUAGCGAACAGGAUUAGAUACCCUGGUAGUCCACGCCGUAAACGGUGGGCGCUAGGUGUGGGUUUCCUUCCACGGGAUCCGUGCCGUAGCUAACGCAUUAAGCGCCCCGCCUGGGGAGUACGGCCGCAAGGCUAAAACUCAAAGGAAUUGACGGGGGCCCGCACAAGCGGCGGAGCAUGUGGAUUAAUUCGAUGCAACGCGAAGAACCUUACCUGGGUUUGACAUACACCGGAAACCUGCAGAGAUGUAGGCCCCCUUGUGGUCGGUGUACAGGUGGUGCAUGGCUGUCGUCAGCUCGUGUCGUGAGAUGUUGGGUUAAGUCCCGCAACGAGCGCAACCCUUGUCCUGUGUUGCCAGCACGUAAUGGUGGGGACUCGCAGGAGACUGCCGGGGUCAACUCGGAGGAAGGUGGGGACGACGUCAAGUCAUCAUGCCCCUUAUGUCCAGGGCUUCACACAUGCUACAAUGGGCGGUACAGAGGGCUGCGAGACCGUGAGGUGGAGCGAAUCCCUUAAAGCCGUUCUCAGUUCGGAUCGGGGUCUGCAACUCGACCCCGUGAAGUUGGAGUCGCUAGUAAUCGCAGAUCAGCAACGCUGCGGUGAAUACGUUCCCGGGCCUUGUACACACCGCCCGUCACGUCAUGAAAGUCGGUAACACCCGAAGCCGGUGGCCCAACCC